rnacentral:rRNA from 1 species
GACGAACGCUGGCGGCGUGCUUAACACAUGCAAGUCGAACGGUAAGGCCCUUCGGGGUACACGAGUGGCGAACGGGUGAGUAACACGUGGGUGAUCUGCCCUGCACUUCGGGAUAAGCCUGGGAAACUGGGUCUAAUACCGGAUAGGACCACUGCCUGCAUGGGUGGUGGUGGAAAGCUUUUGCGGUGUGAGAUGGGCCCGCGGCCUAUCAGCUUGUUGGUGGGGUGAUGGCCUACCCAGGCGACGACGGGUAGCCGGCCUGGGAGGGUGACCCGCCACACUGGGACUGAGAUACGGCCCAGACGCCUACGGGAGGCAGCAGUGGGGAAUAUUGCACAAUGGGCGCAAGCCUGAUGCAGCGACGCCGCGUGAGGGAUGACGGCCUUCGGGUUGUAAACCUCUUUCAGCACCGACGAAGCGCAAGUGACGGUAGGUGCAGAAGAAGGACCGGCCAACUACGUGCCAGCCGCCGCAGUAA